rnacentral:sRNA from 1 species
UCUGAAUGUAAAAUAGAGGUUGUUGGUUUUUUUUUUUUUAACAAAUUACACGUUUGUGAUCUUUGCAAUAUAUGUGUAACCAAAACCGAAAAUUGCAAAGAAAUUGCUUGGAGCUGAUUAACUUACAUGCUGCUAUUUAGAAAUUCUACUAGAGAUUAUUAAUGCACAAAUAUUUUCAGAGAAGUUUCCUUAUUUACAGGACAACACUACCUAUAUUUAAUUAUCAUCUUAAGGCUAAGAAGAAAUAAGGGCAGAGGUAUUUUCCGUAAAGCCAUUAUAUUAUGUUAGUUUUUAUUAAUUCAAUUCUAUUUACCAAGACUUUAAGGCAGGACUUACUUUCUUUAAAAAAAAAAAAAAAAAACUAAGCUCCACAAAACUUAAGUGAUUCAGUACUGCCUGAUUCUUUAAUUAGCCUGAGAGACUUGUAAUCCACCAAAACUUAACUAGGCAGUUAGGCAAUUAGUGUGCUGUCUUCUCUCAUAUCAAAAAGGCUUGAAUCAUGGCCAUUGUCAUUACUUACAAUUAUUUCUAGUUUUUCAUGCCAUAAUAAUGGCUAAUUAUACUGGUUAAUCACAAAACUCAGCCAAUCCAAAUUCACUAAUAAAUCAGCUAAAACAAUUAGAUUGCACCAUUUAUAAAUGUUUAGCUACACACAUUUUCACAGGCUCUAGGAUUAGGCAUUUUUCUAAAGCUACAUUUGAUGGUUUGGGUCAUUCUACCUCAGAGCAGCUACAAUAAUGUUAAUCAACUCCUUGGCUGUGAGCCAUUAUUAUGAAGGAAAAAAGUUAAGUGAACAAGAUAUCAGCCAACUCAAUCACACUACAAAAUCAUAGACUAAAUGGAAUUCAACUCAGACCUUCUUUUUGGGUUCAGGAGGCUGUUAACAUAUGCUGUCCAAGGUUGGUGAGAGAAAAGCUGUUCUUUACCCCAUCACAGAUUCUCAGGUCCCCUGAGAUUUGGGGCGGGUGGAGUCAAAGGCUCCUAGGCUAGGAUUUGAAGCUGCACCCCAUUGCCCUGGCAUAACUUUUGUUUUGUUAAGUGAGCUUUGCCAAUAGGCCUAGAUAGUAGAAGAAGGAGUAUACUCAGAAGAACUGAAAGAAAGCGUUUUGUAGCUGGGGUCCCUACGGGAAGUUGUUCAUAUUCUCAGGCACAAGAAUCUUCUAUGGAAAACUCUGGUCUUACACCUAGGGAAGAGAGACACUCUCUUUUCUUUCCUCCUCCUCUUUCUUCUUUUUGUUUUUGACAGUCUGUUUUCCAACAGACAAGCAUAACCCACAACUUAUCUGAAAUGAAAAGGAGAAAACUAAAUAUUACAGGAUCUUUUAAUGUUUUAAAGACGAUAAUCUCUUUCCAGUAUUAUUUCAAAUAAUUAUAUAUGUUUGUACGAUUUCAAAUCUGGAACACUGGUGCCAUAUUCACGAAAGUAAAUGAAGUUGAUGUGAAUGUGUAAGGGAAAAUACUGUUAGAAAGAUUUAUCUUACUAAUUCUGCCAAAUAGAAAGAUUUGGGGCUGGGCGCGGUGGCUCAUGCCUAUAAUCCCAGCACUCUGGGAGGCCGAGGCAAGUGGAUCACCUGAGGUCAGGAGUUCGAGACCAGCCUGGCCAAUGUGGUGAAACCCUGUCUCUACUAAAAAUACAAAAAUUAUCUGGGUGUGGUGGCGCAUGCCUGUAAUCCCAGCUACUUGGGAGACUGAGGCAGGAGAAUCACCUGAACCGGGGAGGCGGAGGUUUGAGUGAGCCGAGAUUGCGCCAUUGCAUUCUAGCCUGGGCAACAAGAGUGAAACUCUGUCUCCUAAAUAAAUAAAUAUUAAAAAAAAAGAUUUGGAAAGAGAAUCAGCUGACCUGUAAUUGAGCAUUCCCUUUUGGUUUUCUUCUGUUGCUUAGAAGAAAAAAGUUUUAAAGGCUUUACAAAAUUAUAAAUGUGUACAAAAACUGGAAAACAUGAUUCCCACGUUAAAAAAAAAAUUAUAGGAUUUUAGAUCAUUCAGACAUGUUUCAAACUCAGGGUUGAGGACUCUGCUGUUUGGUCGUUUUCCCAAGGAAUAAAGUGAAAAUCCUCCUGUGAAUCAUACACAUUUUCUCUCUCUGAAUUACUGACUUUAAUCUUUUGGGGACUAGAGUAAACAUGAAGAGGUCUUCAAACACACAACACGAAAUCAUUACAAUAAAGGGAGGGGUUGUAUAUGUUAUUCCCGCUUUCAUAAAAAGAGUCUUUCACUUGUGUUUUCUAAAAUUAAGAUUAUAGCUUAAUCCAAGUUAAGAACUUUUUUUUAAAAGGUGUUUUUAAAAACGAGUUUACCUGGCUUAGUUUAAAUGAUUCAGUGUAGCUAAUUAUUCAUAAAUGCUCAUUCUCCUUGUUUUGUUCCCUCAUGUCUCGAAAUGGGGGAAAGUUUAUCAAUGUAUCCAUAGAAGAGAAACCAUAUGUAAAUUCUACUUGAGAAAAUGUUAAGUAUAUUUUUCAAGCCAAAAAUCCCAUUUCUGACACAAAAUGUCUGUAUUCAACUGCGUCAUUAGAAUUUCUUAAAGCUAUAGAUGAAGAAGUCAGGGGCACAUAAGAGGUGCAAUGUUUAAAUUAUUUUAUAAUAUGUUAAAUAAGGUCAGUUCCUUUUCACCUUAACAUUUGAUCGGUGAAUAUAGCACAUGUAAAGCUCAGAGAAAACCAUGGGAAAGUUUAUGGCUAACUCCUCCUCUAAUCUUUCCGUCCAUCUCGUCGUGGGUAAAGAUGCCUUUAUUAACAGUAGUGAUGCUGUUGGUUUCGCUCACUAAUGGCUUUCUUGUGCGCUGUGUGGCUGUGUAUUUUGUCUGCCAUUGUACAGGAAUUCAAACCCAUUGGUACCGCGCACAACAGAAGGGCCCAGCCUUUUGUUGCAGCUGCAAACAUUGAUGACAAAAGACAGGUAGUGAGCGCUUCCUAUAACUCGCCAAUCGGGCUCUAUUCAACUAGCAAUAUACAAGAUGCGCUUCACGGACAGCUGCGGGGUCUCAUUCCUAGCUCGCCUCAAAAGUAAGUAUCCGACUCUGUUCUGGCCGCAGUGUACCUAACAGUGAUAGCAUGGUUUCUUUUCUUUUCAAAAGUCCAGCUCUUGCUGUUUUAUUUUCACUUUCCUGAAGGCACUAUCAGAUUUCUCUUUUAAAGACAAGCGUCUUAAACAUGUUUCUCAUUGUUGUGGGGUCCAAUCCGCCAGUGCCUGACCGUUUCGCGGACAGAUGGUUGGAAAGAAGACAUCGUCCUGGUCCCGUCAUCGCCUUUCUUAGUCAUGACAGUAGUUGGUGGUAAAUGAUCCUCCCUGUACAACUAUCGUCCGUUUAAUCUCAUCUGCAACAGUGUCCGCCUUCCACUGAGGGCCUUUUUAACGCUUUCUUUUCGCAGGACGGGAACUACUUUGAACACAAGCACAACAUUCGGCCCAAACCCUUCGUGAUCCCGGGCCGAAGCAGGUCAUACGCGCUGAGACUGUGGAGUUUGCAGUGCAUGCUUCUUAAAUCAGUUCUUACUAAUCAUCAAGAAAAGUAACUGGUAGAUGUUUGGAGUGGCUUUUCUCAUUGCGAAGCUUAUUUCAAAAGCAAAAAGAAACAAACUCACUUGGCAGAGAACAGAAGCCAAAUAACUUGCAUUUCCAAGGGUAAAUAUUGACAAGAUGACAGAGCUGUGAAAUUGUAUGCGAUCACCACGUGUAUUUAUAGCGAACACCCCUGAGGCUCUGGGGAUCCCAUCCAGAACACUGUGACCUUUGAGUCGGGCAGUCAGUAUGUCUAUCCCAGGUCAGGAAAGCCCUGCCAGCAGGAGCGAGCAUGGAAACCAGCCCCGAUUAGGAGCAAGGAAUCAGGUGAACAAGCCAGAAUGAUAAGGAGCAAGCUCUUCCUUCUCGUCUCUCAGUAGAGAAACUGAUCAUCUUCAGAUCAUCCUUUUCAAAUAUCUUCUCUAGAAAUUGAACUCCAACCUAAGGGGAAAGAAAAUAAUGCCCUGUAUUGCCAAAUCAGGAAACAGUGACUUCAGGAAACCUCUGUUCCAUCCUUCUGACCUCAGCUAAGCCAGUCAGCCCACAGGAAGGAAGCUGGUGGUUAGACCGGAUUGAUUCCGACAGGAACAUUGAAUAUGAUUUACCGCAGCUGUUGCAAACUGAUGGCCCAUAGGUGGAUUUAUUUCACAGCGAGCCCACAGCCUCGGUGCCCCCCGAGUCGGACGUGUACCGGAUGCUCCACGACAAUCGGAAUGAGCCCACACAGCCUCGCCAGUCGGGCUCCUUCAGAGUGCUCCAGGGAAUGGUGGACGAUGGCUCUGAUGACCGUCCGGCUGGAACGCGGAGUGUGAGAGCUCCGGUGACGAAAGUCCAUGGCGGUUCAGGCGGGGCACAGAGGAUGCCACUCUGUGACAAAUGUGGGAGUGGCAUAGUCGGUGCUGUGGUGAAGGCGCGGGAUAAGUACCGGCACCCUGAGUGCUUCGUGUGUGCCGACUGCAACCUCAACCUCAAGCAAAAGGGCUACUUCUUCAUAGAAGGGGAGCUGUACUGCGAAACCCAUGCAAGAGCCCGCACAAAGCCCCCAGAGGGCUAUGACACGGUCACUCUGUAUCCCAAAGCUUAAGUCUCUGUAGGCGCGGCACGCACGCACGCACCCAUGCGCACUUACACGAGAAGACAUUCAUGGCUUUGGGCAGAAGGAUUGUGCAGAUUGUCAACUCCAAAUCUAAAGGCUUUAGACCUUUAUCCUAUUGUUUAUUGAGGAAAAGGAAUGGGAGGCAAAUUGCCUGCUAUGUGAAAAAAACAUACACUUAGCUAUGUUUUGCAACUCUUUUUGGGGCUAGCAAUAAUGAUAUUUAAAGCAAUAAUUUUUUGUAUGUCAUACUCCACAAUUUACAUGUAUAUUACAGCCAUCAAACACACAAACAUCAAGAUAUUUGGAGUCUAAUUGUCUUUCCUUGACAAGUUGAUUUUGCAAUUGUGGUAAAUACCAAAUAACAAUCUUGUAUUCUAACAUAAUCUGCAGUUGUCUGUACGUGUUUUAACUAUUACAGUGCAUGUUAGGGAGAAAUUCCCUGAAUUUCUUUAGUUUUGUAUUCAAACAAUUAUGCCACUGGAUGCAACAAACAUAAUAAAUACAUAAAAGAUUUAAAAAA